rnacentral:rRNA from 1 species
UGGGGAAUAUUGCACAAUGGGGGAAACCCUGAUGCAGCGACGCCGCGUGAACGAAGAAGGUAUUCGUAUCGUAAAGUUCUGUCCUAUGGGAAGAUAAUGACAGUACCAUAGAAGAAAGCUCCGGCUAAAUACGUGCCAGCAGCCGCGGUAAUACGUAUGGAGCGAGCGUUGUCCGGAAUUAUUGGGCGUAAAGGGUACGCAGGCGGUUUAAUAAGUCGAAUGUUAAAGUUCGGGGCUCAACCCCGCAAAGCAUUGGAAACUGAUAAACUUGAGUAGUGGAGAGGAAAGUGGAAUUCCUAGUGUAGUGGUGAAAUACGUAGAUAUUAGGAGGAAUACCAGUAGCGAAGGCGACUUUCUGGACACAAACUGACGCUGAGGUACGAAAGCGUGGGGAGCAAACAGG